rnacentral:ncRNA from 1 species
CAUUAGGUUGAUUCUGCCUAACGUAGAUGCUAGUCUCUGAGAUUAAGCCAUGCAUGUCAGUGAAGCCUUACGGUGGAACGGCGAACGGCUCAGUAAUGUUGCGGUAAUUUGGUCUCUGUGUGUAAACUAACCACGGUAACCUGUGGCUAAAAGCGGAGAAUAAGGCGCAACCCUAUCAGCUUGUUGGUAGUGUAAAGGACUACCAAGGCCAUGACGGGUAACGGGAAAUCAGGGUUUGAUUCCGGAGAGGGAGCCUGAGAGAUGGCUCCCACGUCCAAGGACGGCAGCAGGCGCGAAACUUGUCCACUCCUUACGGGGGAGACAGUCAGAGACG